rnacentral:rRNA from 1 species
UACGGAGGGUGCAAGCGUUUAAUCGGAAUUACUGGGCGUAAAGCGCACGUAGGCGGAUUGUUAAGUCAGGGGUGAAAUCCCGGGGCUCAACCCCGGAACUGCCUUUGAUACUGGGUAUCUCGAGUCCGGAAGAGGUGAGUGGAAUUCCGAGUGUAGAGGUGAAAUUCGUAGAUAUUCGGAGGAACACCAGUGGCGAAGGCGGCUCACUGGUCCGGUACUGACGCUGAGGUGCGAAAGCGUGGGGAGCAAACAGG